AUAAUUAAAGAAAAAGGUGCAUGUGAGCCUUGUACACGCGUGCUAAGCCCAGUUAGAGAUAGGGUAUUCUGCUAUGUGAAUGGGUACGAAGUCAGAAUUUCACUUUGGUGAAGUUAGAAUUCCUCACCUGUUCAGUGAGUUGCUAGGAGGAAAAAAAACAGAUCGGCCGGGAGAAGAGCCCUGUCGUAUCGCCGCUGUCAGCGAUGCCAAAAUGGUGAAACCUUCGCGCUUUCUGCUCCGACCUCCUCUAACCGCAACGGUAAACAAACCUCAGCGCCGAUGUACUAUUUCUCAGCAAGCGACGACGAGGAUGGCGGCUUCGUCGAUGACGCCAACGUCGUGAAUCCGGUGACCUCUUCGCACUAGCCACUCCUUCCUCUUACUUUUCUUUCACUAUCGAUUUGCUUCUGGUCAUAGCUCUGAGAUGACCUGAUGGAAUGGAAGGUGGAUGCUCCAAGCUUCAAGACAACCUGUUUUUGUGACUAAGUCCAAAGUGAUUUCAUCCUAAUUGCUUGGUUUUGGUCAUUAGGAACCUAUUUCCAUCUGUAGCAAUUUUUUCACUGUAAUUACUUAGUUUAGUUUUUUUUAGACAAAUGUGUGUUUGGAUUAUUUGGGACUUAUUGAAUUAAAUUUUAAUUAUGUAAUUACCUUUUAA